rnacentral:lncRNA from 1 species
GCCGAGUUGUUCUUCAGACUCGGCGAGUAGCUUGAAGAUGUGCUGGGACUCGCCGAGUUGUUCAUCAGACUCGGCGAGUGGAGUCGGGGUGGCCCCGCGAUUCUUCCACGAGGACCUCGUCGAGUCAAGAGGUAUACUCGACGAGUAGAAAGGGAAUAUUCAGGAAUCUGUGAGGACGACUAGACUCGCCGAGUCGCCAUGGUACUCGCCGAGUCCAGUCGAGUUGACCGUUGACCGUUGACCAGAGUUGACCUAAGUCUGACUUCUUAGGGAUAGUCACACUUAGAUGAUAUGAGUGUUAAUGAGUUAUGUAAUGUUAUAGGAGGGUUGUAGCUCGUUGGUUUGUGCGCGAGUGAUUUCAGGAGUUGCUAGCUUUCAGCACUUACGAGGUGAGUCUUCUCACUAUACUGUACCCGGAAGGGUUUGACUGUGUGACCGGAAGGUCAAGUAUGUUAUGUAUUAUGUUUAUAUGCUAUAAGUGGUAAGUUAAGUGUUAUAUGGAUAUGUAUGCUAUAAGUGGUAAGUUAAGUGUUAUAUGGAUAUGUAUGCUAUAUGUGGUAAGUUAAGUGUUAUAUGUGCUAUGUAUGAUAUGUGGGCCGGAAGGCAAUAUGUUAUGGGCCGGAAGGCGAUUAUGUUAUGGGCCGGAAGGCGUUGUAAUGAGGACCGGAAGGUCAGGGCCUGGAAAGGCGUAUGUGCGUAAGUGUAUAUUGGGGAACUCACUAAGCAUUUAUGCUUACAGUUGUUGUGCAUGUAUUUCAGGUACUAGUGAGGACCGUGGGAAGGCGCCGGCAUGAUCGAUACACACUGAAGAUUGUUUUAUGAUCUUGGGAGUUUGAAUAAUUGUAUUGACCGAAUAAUUGAACUGUUUAUGCCUUGUUUUUAAUGGAAAUAAUUAUGUUUUAAAAAUGAAAAAUUUGUUUGAAAAAUUUGAGUUGUUACAAUUGGUAUCAGAGCCUUGGUUUGAGGGAUUCGGGUGCACCUUCGGGGGUAACUGAACUCAAACCGAGGAUUUGAGGAAACUUUUCAAAUAAAGGCAUAAACUUUUGUAAAUGGUUUUGUGGUAAGCAAGAAAGAAGCAGUGUGUACGAUCAGUCAGCGCCCGAACGGUAAAGAUCCCCAAAAUACCUUACAAUAUUAUAUGAUAUGAAUUGUUAUGCAUGCUAGAAGACUAGGUAUUCAUGAUAGGACUAGAGUGGCCUGAUUUGUGAUGCCUUAGUCUAGGGAAGUUGCUUAUAUGAGAUGCUUUGCUAGUAUGCGGGUAGAUAGAGCGUAUCAGAAGUAGAGUACUCACUAUCUGGAGUUUGGGGAGGAGGACUUGGGAUGAACAUUGAUGCGGUGUGGUCGGUAGUAUUGGGCCCGUACUACCGAGGACACCGGGUCAGUGGGAGGCCCAAGUAAGAAUCCCUGGAUAUCUGGGACUGAGUAGGGUUGCGUGUCGAGUACGAUUAUACUCGGUAGAAUCUCUGAUAGUUUUAUGUUGUAUUUCAGAGAUAUCAUGGUUAGACCGCGGCACGGGGCAAGUACGAGCGGUGUGAGUGACGAGGAUAUUCGUCAGAUGAUCCACGAGGAGGUGGCGGCGGCGAUCCGGGCUGAGAUCCCGGAGAUGUUUGGGUCUAUCAAGACCACCCUGAUGGAGACGUUCGACGAGCGGUACGCCGCAUUGACUGAGGCUGCAACCGCUGCAGCUACCGCAGCUGUGGCCGCUGCUAGGCCACAGGGGGGUGAUUCAUUGCUGUUCCGAGAGUUCAGCAACACGAAGCCACCAGAGUUCGAUGGGACGCAGGAUCCGAUUGCUGCGAUGAGGUGGAUCGCAGAUAUAGAGGGGUGCUUCUAUACUUGUUCAUGCCCGGAGCACCUGAGGGUACGGUUCGCUUUGAACCAGCUCCGUCUGGGAGCGAAGGACUGGUGGAAGUUCGUGACAGCGAAUUUCACUUUGGCAGAGACUACAGCGGUGACAUGGGAGGGGUUUACUGCCAUGUUCAGGGAUGAGUACGUUCCCCCGGUGGAGAGGGAACGAUUGGUGCAGGAGUUCUUAACCCUCAAGCAGGGUACCGAUUCUGUUGCGGUGAUUACACGGAAGUUUCAUGAGAGGGCGAUGUUUUGCCCUGAGCUGGUGUCCUCAGAGCAGGCUCGGAUGAGCCGAUACUUGGGUGUCUUGAGGAGGGAUAUUCGGGAGUUUGUGUCAAACUCCACUUACCAUACUUUUGCUGAGCUUCAGGCGAAUGCCAGGAAGCGCGAGAUCGAGUUGGAGACCCAGGCUAGGGAGGAGGCCGAGUCUCAGCGGGUGGAUCGGCGACCGGCUCAGUUCCAGCCGGCAGCCAAGCGGACCAAGUCCGCUGAUUCGAGGACAGGAGGUUCGAAGGGUCGCACUUGCGGGAAGUGCGGCAAGAGUCAUGAUGGAGUAUGUCGAUCUGGUGCUUGCUACAAGUGUGGCAAGGAGGGGCACAUUGCUAGGGAGUGCCCCAAGGGAUUUUCGGUUUGCUUUCAUUGCAACCAGACUGGCCAUAGGAAGGCCGAGUGCCCUCAGCUUCUUCAGGGAUCUGCACCUGCUGCCGGAGUUACUGCGACUCGACCGGUGAAGGCCGAGGCCCCGAGGGCUCGGGGAAGAGCCUUUCAGCUGACAGCGGAAGAGGUCCGCGCUGCGCCCGAUGUUGUGGCAGGUAUGUUGUAAUUCAUGUAAUUAUUUUAAUGUCGAUAUGUUAUGCUUAUGUUGUUAUGCGCGUAGGUACUUUCCUUGUGAACUCUGUGCCUGCCUUAGUGUUAUUUGACUCGGGUGCGAGUAGGUCCUUUGUGUCCUUGGCCUUUAGUCAGCAUAUUGGCGUUAGUCGUGAGUCGUUGAGUCGACCUUUGAGAGUCUCUAUAGCUGACGAGAAGGUGAUUUGUGCUACGGAGGUUCUUCGGGGAUGUGUACUAGAGAUUUUCGGGGUUGGAUUCCCGAUUGACCUGAUUCCUAUCGCGAUGGGGGAUGUCUGUGUCAUCGUGGGCAUGGACUGGUUGAGCCGGUUCGGCGCUGUCAUCGACUGUGAGCGUCAGUUGGUGACUAUACGAGACCCAAGUGGGGGAGUUCUUUCGGUAUACGGCGAGGGUACCCGUUCGGGAUCAGCUUUUUGUUCGGCCGCUAGGGCGAGGCAGUGUCUACGUCAGGGCUGUAAGGGUUUCGUGGCGUAUGUGAUGGAUACGCGGGAGGUUUCUGAGAAACCGAAGUCAGUUGAGGAAGUUCCGGUGGUGCGCGAGUUUUCAGAUGUCUUUCCCGAGGAGUUGCCGGGAGUACCGCCUGUGAGGCAAGUAGAGUUUAGUAUCGAUCUGGUUCCGGGGGCAGCGCCUAUUGCUAAAGUGCCCUAUCGUCUUGCACCUCCAGAGAUGCAAGAGUUGUCCUCGCAACUCCAGGAGUUGCUGGGAAAGGGAUUCAUUCGGCCGAGCAGCUCGCCAUGGGGAGCACCUAUUCUGUUCGUCAAGAAGAAGGAUGGUUCACACCGGAUGUGCAUUGAUUACCGGGAGUUGAACAAGCUAACGGUCAAGAACCGUUACCCGUUGCCGAGGAUCGAUGAUUUAUUCGAUCAGUUGCAGGGAGCAUCUUGGUUUUCCAAGAUCGAUCUGAGGUCAGGAUACCAUCAGGUGAGAGUACGGGAUGAGGACGUCCAGAAGACAGCGUUUAGGACGCGAUAUGGGCAUUAUGAGUUUGUGGUGAUGCCUUUUGGACUCACCAAUGCCCCGGCUGUGUUCAUGGAUCUCAUGAACAGGGUAUGCAGGCCGAUGUUGGAUCGGUCAGUGAUUGUAUUUAUCGACGACAUUCUGGUGUAUUCGAGAUCUAGAGAGCAGCAUGAGGAGCAUUUGAGGGAGGUCCUUGAGGUAUUGAGGUCGGAGAAGCUUUAUGCAAAGUUCUCCAAAUGUGACUUCUGGUUGCGGGAGGUCCAGUUUCUAGGACAUGUGGUUAAUCAGAAAGGGAUAUUGGUCGAUCCGGCCAAGGUUGAGGCGGUGAUGAGUUGGGAGGUGCCGAAGUCACCCUCUGAGAUCAGAAGUUUCCUUGGGUUGGCAGGGUAUUAUCGGAGAUUUAUCAAGGAUUUCUCCAAGAUCGCAGUGCCACUCACCAGAUUGACCCGGAAGGGUGUUACAUUCUCAUGGGGGCCCGAGCAGCAGACCUCCUUUGAGACACUUCGCCAGAGAUUGUGCGAAGCCCCGGUAUUAGCUCUCCCAGAAGGGAUGGAAGAUUUCGUGGUAUAUUGCGACGCAUCGAUUUCGGGAUUGGGUGCAGUGUUAAUGCAGAGGGGUCAUGUGAUAGCUUAUGCGUCGAGGCAGCUGAAGCCUCAUGAGGCGAGAUAUCCCACGCAUGAUUUAGAGUUGGGGGCAGUAGUGUUCGCUCUCAAGAUUUGGCGUCACUACUUGUAUGGGGUUCGAUGUACGAUAUACACGGACCAUAAGAGUUUGAAGUAUUUGAUGGAUCAACCCAACCUAAAUAUGCGUCAGAGGAGGUGGUUGGAUGUGGUCAAGGAUUAUGAUUGUGAGAUCCUGUACCACCCAGGCAAGGCUAAUGUGGUAGCCGAUGCAUUGAGCCGCAGGGCGGAGAGCACUCCAUUGCGAGAUGUAUGCUUGAGACUGACUGUGAUGACUCCAGUAUUGGACGCUAUUCGUGGAGCCCAGGCAGAGGCUGUGCGACCAGAAAUGCGGAAGAAAGAGCGGGUUGUGGGGUUAAUCUCAGAGUUUGUCAAGGAUAGUCGAGGCCUUAUGACGUUUCAGGGUCGGAUUUGGGUACCGUUCGUGGGCGGUACGCGUAUUACGUUGAUGGAAGAGGCUCAUAGAUCGAAAUUCUCGAUCCAUCCCGGUGCUACAAAGAUGUAUUUGGAUUUAAGGAAGGAAUAUUGGUGGCCCUGUAUGAAGAGGGACGUGGCAUGGUUCGUUGAGAGGUGCUUGACCUGCCGUAGGGUUAAGGCUGAGCACCAGAGACCGCAUGGCAAGUUACAGCCAUUGGAGAUCCCCGAGUGGAAGUGGGAACAGAUUACUAUGGAUUUUAUCACCAAAUUGCCGAGGACUGCUAGGGGAGUUGACGCAAUUUGGGUGAUCGUGGAUAGGUUGACAAAGAGUGCACACUUCCUUGCCAUCAGUGAGAGUUCUUCAGCGGAAAAGUUGGCGGAGAUAUACGUGAAAGAGGUGGUAUCUCGGCACGGGGUGCCGAUCUCGAUUGUGUCAGACCGCGAUGUGCGCUUCACUUCCAGGUUCUGGAAGAAAUUCCAUGAGGAGCUGGGUACUAAAUUGCAUUUUAGUACCGCAUACCAUCCCCAGACAGACGGUCAGAGCGAGCGGACAAUUCAGACGCUGGAGGACAUGCUCCGAGCGUGUGUGUUAGACUUCGGGGGUAGUUGGGAUGCGUAUUUACCAUUGGCGGAGUUCUCCUACAACAACAGCCAUCAUUCGAGCAUUGGUAUGCCGCCUUUCGAGCUGUUGUAUGGUAGGAGGUGUCGGACUCCCAUUUGCUGGGGAGAGGUGGGACAGAGAGUGAUGGGCAGCACGGAGAUCAUACUCCAGACGACAGAGCAGAUUCAACAAGUGAGACAAAGAUUAUUGACUGCCCAGAGCCGACAGAAGAGUUAUGCAGACAGGCGCCGAUCCGAGCUUGAAUUUCAAGUCGGCGACUUCGUUCUCCUGAAGGUCUCUCCUUGGAAAGGAGUGAUUCGGUUCAGGAAGAGAGGCAAGUUGGGGCCCCGGUAUAUUGGGCCAUUUCGUGUGAUUGCAAGGAUAGGUCGGGUAGCCUACCGGUUGGAGUUGCCAGCGGAGUUGGGUCAGAUCCAUGACACUUUUCAUGUGUCGCAGUUGAGGAAGUGCAUAGCCGAUGAGUCGGCAGUGGUUCCAUUGGAGGAUAUUCAGGUGGAUGCGAGCCUGAAUUACGCGGAGAGACCAGUGGCGAUCAAGGAUCGGAAGAUCAAGGUUCUGAGGAACAAGGAAGUACCUCUGGUGCUAGUUCAAUGGCAACACCGUAGGGGAUCGGAAUUGACUUGGGAGCCGGAACGUGAGAUGCGGGAGCAGCAUCCGGAACUAUUUGCAGAGUGAGACUUCGAGGGCGAAGUCUAAUCCAAGUGGGGGAGAGUUGUAACAGCCCGAAAUCUCAGGUAUUAUUAAAUUAUGUUUUUGGGGUGAUUUAAAGGGGGACUCGGCGAGUUGGAGCCUAGACUCGCCGAGUAGGAUCGCAGACUUGGUCGCGGGAUCGCGACUGGACUCGACGAGUCCAGGUAUGGACUCGGCGAGUCGACGCUGUUCAGCAGAAACCCUAACUGUUCGGUUUGGGAUCGUAUAUAAUGCUCUUAUGUGCCGUCAUUGUUCGUUUUUAGUCGAUUGAGAGAAACCCUAAUCGGUGGUGGGCAUCUAGAGCAAGAUUGGAGGAUAUUAGGGCUUGAAGAAGUUGUAGGACAAAGAGAAGAAGGUUUUGGCUAAAGGAACAGCAAAGGAUUCGAGUUCUGCGAUUUGGAAACACAGAGAGGGCAUAUUCCAGGUAAUAUUUCGGAAUUCCUUCUGUUGUUUGUUGUGUUUGUGAAGUUAGGGUUUAUGAAACCCAUUUAGUGAUUAGAUAAGUUAUUAUGUUGUUACCCAAACGUUUAUACCCCCAGUAAUGAGAUGUUUAGAUGUCCAGAGGGUCCCAUGGUUGUAUACCUUGGGGCCAUACGUGAUUCAGGAAGCAGUUACUCGUCUGCAUGGCAUGGACUCGCCGAGUUGUUCUUCAGACUCGGCGAGUAGCUUGAAGAUGUACUGGGACUCGCCGAGUUGUUCUUCAGACUCGGCGAGUGGAGUCGGGGUAGCCCCGCGAUUCUUCCACGAGGACCUCGUCGAGUCAAGAGGUAUGCUCGACGAGUAGAAAGGGAAUAUUCAGGGAUCUGUGAGGACGACUAGACUCGCCGAGUCGCCAAGGUACUCGCCGAGUCCAGUCGAGUUGACCGUUGACCAGAGUUGACCUAAGUCUGACUUCUUAGGGAUAGUCACACUUAGCUGUUAUGAGUGUUAAUGAGUUAUGUAAUGUUAUAGGAGGGUUGUAGCUCGUUGGUUGUGCGCGAGUGGUUUCAGGAGUUGCUAGCUUUCAGCAUUUUCGAGGUGAGUCUUCUCACUAUACUGUACCCGGAAGGGUUUGAUUGUGUGACCGGAAGGUCGAUUAUGUUAUGUGAUAUGCAUGCUAUAUGUGGUAAGCUAAAUGUUUUAUGGAUACGUAUGCUAUAUGUGGUAAGCUAAGUGUUUUGUGGAUAUGUAUGCUGUAUGUGGUAAGUUAAGUAUUAUAUGUGCUAUGUAUGAUAUGUUAUGGGCCGGAAGGCGAUUAUGUUAUGGGCCGGAAGGCGUUGUACUGAGGACCAGAAGGUCAGGGCCUGGAAAGGCGUAUGUGUGUAAGUGUAUAUUGGGGAACUCACUAAGCAUUUAUGCUUACAGUUGUGGUGUAUGUAUGUAUUUCAGGUACUAGCGAGGACCGUGGGAAGGCACCGGCAUGAUCGAUACACACUGAAGAUUGUUUUAGGAUCUUGGGAUUUGAAUAAAUGUAUUGACUGAAUAAUUAUACUUUUUAUGCCUUGAUUUUAAUGGAAAAUAUUAUGUUUUAAAAAUGAAAAAUUUGUUUGAAAAAUUUGAGUUGUUACACUUAUACUUGCAAAAUAUUUCAAUUGAUAAAGUAGCUAAUUAGAAUAAGAUAAAAACGUGGGAGUUUCAAAUGAAUAUGGUUCAAGAUAUAUGAUCUAUUGUAACGCACAAAAAAUAAGAUCCAAAUUUUUCAUUUUUAAAUUAUUAAAACCAAUAUCCCAGAUACCUCAUCAUA